GUGCUCACUUCGGCAGCACAUAUACUAAAAAAUUGGAACAAUACUGAGAAGAUUAGCAUGGCCCUUGUGCAAGGAUGACAAACAAAUUCAUGAAGCAUUCCAUAAAAAA
rnacentral:snRNA from 1 species